AGUGAACGCUGGCGGUAGGCCUAACACAUGCAAGUCGAACGGCAGCACAGUAAGAGCUUGCUCUUACGGGUGGCGAGUGGCGGACGGGUGAGGAAUACAUCGGAAUCUACUUUUUCGUGGGGGAUAACGUAGGGAAACUUACGCUAAUACCGCAUACGACCUACGGGUGAAAGCAGGGGAUCUUCGGACCUUGCGCGAUUGAAUGAGCCGAUGUCGGAUUAGCUAGUUGGCGGGGUAAAGGCCCACCAAGGCGACGAUCCGUAGCUGGUCUGAGGGGAUGAUCAGCCACACUGGAACUGAGACACGGUCCAGACUCCUACGGGGAGCAGCAGUGGGGAAUAUUGGACAAUGGGCGCAAGCCUGAUCCAGCCAUACCGCGUGGGUGAAGAAGGCCUUCGGGUUGUAAAGCCCUUUUGUUGGGAAAGAAAAGCAGCAGGUUAAUACCCCGCUGUUCUGACGGUACCCAAAGAAUAAGCACCGGCUAACUUCGUG
rnacentral:rRNA from 1 species